rnacentral:misc_RNA from 1 species
GAUGAAGAACGCAGUGAAUUGCGAUAAGUAAUGUGAAUUGCAGAUUUUCAGUGAAUCAUCGAAUCUUUGAACGCACAUUGCGCCCGCCAGUAUUCUGGCGGGCAUGCCUGUUCGAGCGUCAUUACAACCCUCAGGCCCCCGGGCCUGGCGUUGGGGAUCGGCGGAGCCCCCCGUGGGCACACGCCGUCCCCCAAAUACAGUGGCGGUCCCGCCGCAGCUUCCAUCGCGUAGUAGCUAACACCUCGCGACUGGAGAGCGGCGCGGCCACGCCGUAAAACACCCAACUCUUCUGAAGUUGACCUCGAAUCAGGUAGGAAUACCCGCUGAACUUAAGCAUAUCAAUAAGCGGAGGA